CGUCGGCCGGUUGCAAAGAUAGCGGUUUUGGAGGUAACGAAGGGUAAAGCUUAAGGAGCGUUACGGGUCGGGGAAUGUUCGUUCCGUGUGUUGCCGGAUCGAUCAGUUUUACAACACGGCUCCUGAUCUUGAUAAGGUAGAUCGCAUUGUUUGGGUGAUUUGUUGUCAUGUUCAAAUGUGAUGAUUCAUUGUGAAGAAGAUAGUUGGAUGUGAAAGUUAAAUUAUAGUUGACGAAAUUUAUCAUAUUAUUUGAAGUCCUGGAUGCGCUAGAAGAGGAAAAUUGCUGAAAAGAUAAAAAGACACUAUCUGUGAGGCACGAUUAGUAUCGGUACACCAAUAAUCUAUCGGUGAUUUUCAAUAGCCAUUAGGCUCGAAGUAGUAGGCAGACCAGAAUUUGGGUUCGGAUUGGUCAAACGAAAAUCAAGAAUUUUUUGAGCUGUCUGCAACGAGAUUGCUGCAAAAAACCGAUUUCGUCUAAUCCGAACAAU